rnacentral:lncRNA from 1 species
CACAAAUACACAUAAAGGCUGUGAUCGUUCUAUUUUUCUGUCAGAUGGUCAUGAUGUUCAGCCGAGACCAAGCAGCUCUUCUCUCCGUUCAGCUGAUGUUUAUGUGUCGCGUCUUUGCAGAACCUCCAGCAGUUCAGCACAGGAAUAAAGUGGUGUCCAGCGGAGACUCCAUUAAGUUCACUUGCAACACAAAUAUAACAGAAAUGGCAGAGAAAGAUGUGACACAUAUCAAAUGGACAAAAGACACAUUUCUUUUUUCGCAGGAUAUUUUGAACAAUCAGACUUUUUCAAAUUUCACAUAUGACAAAGUGAAAAUAGACACUCGCUUUCCUUUUAAUCUGAUUAUUUUUAAUGCUCAGUAUUAUCAUGCUGGACUCUUUACAUGUCGUCUAACUAGGACAAACGGCCCAUCGACUGCUGUAUGGAAUUUAACUGUGUCUGAGAAAUCUGAAAAGUCUGAAGAAAUAAACAGCAAAGUUUGGUAUUUUGUGUACAUACUCCCAGUUGUAUCUGGAUUACUCCUAUGUGGUAUCACCUCAGCUGUGUGCAUCUCGAGAAGAAAACGUAAAAGCUCAGCCCUGAAUCAGGACCCAGACCCAGACCAGAUUCAAACCCAGUCUGGACUAGACGUUGUUCAACAUCAACUGCAGGCUGAUGCAGAAAGCAUGAGAAGUAACACGAGGAGGACUUGCUACGUGGAGAGGCUCAAUUCAAUUUAUGGCCUCUCUUGAGCUGAGAAAACAUUGAAAUAUAACUUAAAAAUGACACAAAUCCACAGAUACCACAAUCUUUCCAACACCUCCACGAUAAGGACUAUUGUUUAUAUCAUAUCUUUUAUAUCUCUAAACUGUAUGUAUUUUAACAUGUUUUUGUAUAGCAGUUUUAAAAUAAGUAUAGUUUAUGAAAUGUCAUUAAAGUUAACUGAACUCAUCAGGCAUGAAGUGGAAGUUUGCUCCUCCUAGAUGUCUGUGAAUGAAUUGUAAUGAGUUUCUCAUAUCAAAACACAGUUAUUGCAAACAUGUUUUGAAACCGCUCUGAGCAGUGGACAAGUGCAUCAAAUUCUCUCAGCAUCAUUCGGAUACAGCUUUGGAUCAUGUCUCUCGUGUUCAUUUUCUUUUUUAAUUGAUCAUAUAGAUGCUUAUGACACUAGUUUAUUAUCAAGGUGGGCUGUGCUUGAACUUUUAAAAUGUCACUUAAACCGAUGCAUUCAUGCCUCUUACAUAAUGUUGUGCUCCAUGAAAAGUGUGACCGUUUUGAGGCCUAACCAAAAAAUAACACACCACUUCCUUUUGUCUGCAUCUCCCCCACAAAUACAUAUAAGUUUCAUUCUGUGUGACAGUCACUUUGUUUUUUCUAAAACAAGCAGCUCUUUUCAUUGCUCAGUUAUCACGUGUCAUUACUUUGCACAUACAAAGGUGAUUUGUAUGUUUGAUAUAUUUUUAAUCCGGGCUGGUUAUUAACACUUUUUAACAUUUUUUGUUU